rnacentral:rRNA from 1 species
UACGGGGGGUGCGAGCGUUAAUCGGAAUAACUGGGCGUAAAGGGCACGCAGGCGGUCUGUUAAGUCAGAUGUGAACUCCCCGGGCUUAACCUGGGAACGGCAUUUGAGACUGGCAGGCUUGAGUCUCGUAGAGGGGGGUAGAAUUCCAGGUGUAGCGGUGAAAUGCGUAGAGAUCUGGAGGAAUACCGGUGGCGAAGGCGGCCCCCUGGACGAAGACUGACGCUCAGGUGCGAAAGCGUGGGGAGCAAACAGG